rnacentral:sRNA from 1 species
AAAGGGGCUUUGAUCCGGAGUAGUAAACAAUUUCCAGGUGUAAGAGAGCUGUCGUCUGGUGCAAGGCAGCAUAUAUUGUUGAACUCGCCGGGGAGCAUUGCAGGUGAAAUGAUUAGCCUGUGACGGGACAACCGUUAUCUGUUCAAGAGGACAAGUCGUGGGGCUAUAGCGAAGUUGGGAUCGCGCCUGAAUGGCAUUCAGGAGGCCGUGGGUUCGAGUCCCACUAGCUCCACCAUAAUUAAUUUGUCAAUAAGGGUGGUACCGCGGGAACAGCUCUCGUCCCUGUA